GAUGAAGAACGUAGCGAAAUGCGAUAAGUAAUGUGAAUUGCAGAAUUCAGUGAAUCAUCGAAUCUUUGAAUGCACCUUGCGCUCCUUGGUAUUCCGAGGAGCAUGCCUGUUUGAGUGUCAUGAAAUUCUCAACCUUUUCAGCUUUCUUUGUUGAUCAGGCUUGGAUGUGGGAGUAUGCGGGCUUCUCAGAAGUCGGCUCUCCUGAAAUGCAUUAGCGGGACCUUUGUUGCCUGGCUUUGGUGUGAUAAUUAUCUACGCCAUUGUAGUCAAGCAGCUUAAAAUGAGGUUUCAGCUUCUAACCGUCUCCCCUGAGACAACUUUUUGACAAUUUGACCUCAAAUCAGGUAGGACUACCCGCUGAACUUAAGCAUAUCAAUAAGCGGAGGA
rnacentral:misc_RNA from 1 species